rnacentral:tRNA from 1 species
GGGCUAAUGGCGGAAUCGGUAUACGCGCGACACUUAAAAUGUCGUGGCCUCUGGCCUUGUGGGUUCGAGUCCCACUUAGCCCACCA